rnacentral:rRNA from 1 species
UACGUAGGGUGCAAGCGUUAUCCGGAAUUAUUGGGCGUAAAGAGCUCGUAGGCGGUUUGUCGCGCCUGCUGUGAAAACCCGAGGCUCAACCUCGGGCCUGCAGUGGGUACGGGCAGACUAGAGUGCGGUAGGGGAGAUUGGAAUUCCUGGUGUAGCGGUGGAAUGCGCAGAUAUCAGGAGGAACACCGAUGGCGAAGGCAGAUCUCUGGGCCGUAACUGACGCUGAGGAGCGAAAGCGUGGGGAGCGAACAGG